GUAGGUGGCAAGCGUUGUCCGGAAUUAUUGGGCGUAAAGCGCGCGCAGGCGGUUCUUUAAGUCUGAUGUGAAAGCCCACGGCUCAACCGUGGAGGGUCAUUGGAAACUGGAGAACUUGAGUACAGAAGAGGAAAGCGGAAUUCCACGUGUAGCGGUGAAAUGCGUAGAGAUGUGGAGGAACACCAGUGGCGAAGGCGGCUUUCUGGUCUGUAACUGACGCUGAGGCGCGAAAGCGUGGGGGAGCAAACAGGAUUAGAUACCCUGGUAGUCCACGCCGUAAACGAUGAGUGCUAGGUGUUAGGGGGUUUCCGCCCCUUAGUGCUGCAGCUAACGCAUUAAGCACUCCGCCUGGGAGUACGGCCGCAAGGCUG
rnacentral:rRNA from 1 species